rnacentral:lncRNA from 12 species
GGAAGAGGCAAGUCCCCAGAGAAAAACUGGGAAUGGCCAACAGGCCCCUGAGAAAAUAUUGCCCUUCCCCAGCAGGCAGAGAAAGGCCCAGGAAUACACAAAGGGAGAGUCACAGAGCCCAGGCUGGUGCUGCUUAAGAAGGACGCGGCAGCAGAGGCGAGCUGUGCUAGCGGCCCCGCCGAACGCCACCUCGCGGGCAGCAGCCCACACGGCAGGGGGGCGGUGCCCCGAGCAGUGACGAAGGCCUCACGUGACCCGCCAACGCUGACUCGCGCGCCUCGCUGUAGCGCCAGACCCGGCCUUCGCUCGCUCGCUCGCUCGCUCGCUCGCCCGCCCGCCCGCUCGUCGGUACCUGCUCCCGGUGGCCCUGAAGGCGGCGGACCAGGGGCGGCCCCAAAGAGUAGGAGGCGGAGGGGGAGCAGGUGUGCUGGUCCAAGUGUUGCGGCGGCGCACUCGCGGCGAGAAUCCGGAGGAGGAGGAGGAGACUGCAAGGAUAGGCCCAGGUCGGUGUGGGGGACAGUAGAGGGGGCGUGCGGGGAACGUGUGGAAAACCCUGAGGCCCCAAAUUCCCUACCCCUCCCCCCGCCCCAGCGCGUCCUCCAUCUUGGUGCCUGCAGAGGCCUGGGAAGGGAUCGGCAGGGAAAAUGGUGGGCUUUGGGUGGGGGGGGGGGGCGGGGAGGGGAGCGACGGGGGCGGGAGGGGGGCUCGGACCGGGGGCCCCCUGGAGGGCGUAGGGAGCCUCUCAGGUGGGAAAAUGAAAUUUUAAAAAACUGAAGAGAU